AUCAAAUGCAGCCUUUAAAGGGAAGAUGACGGAGUUCAUGCAGAAAUUCGACAAGAACAAAGACGGGAGAAUUGAGAUGUCUGAGCUGGCUCAGAUCUUGCCCACAGAAGAGAACUUUCUCCUCUGCUUCAGACAGUUUGUGGGAUCCAGCACUGAAUUCAUGGCUGCCUGGCGAAAAUAUGACACAGACCGCAGCGGCUUCAUUGAGGCUAAUGAACUUAAGG